GUUCACCGUUUAUGUGGCAAAAUUUAAGUGAAAAAUGUGAAGAUUUAAAUCUGUUUUUCGACUGAAUUAUGCGUGGAAAAUGUUACCAGACCAGUGUACGACGCAGCUAGUUGCCGAAGAUAGUUAUUCGAGGACUAAAAACGAGGCCCAAACUCGGGUGGCUGUGAAGAAAAAUGGCUGCCAUGGCUGUGAUGGCGAAUUUUCACGUUUUGGAUCAUAUCAGAUCAGAUCAGAUAGUUGGCGGCAGAUUUACGCUUGUUUUCUAAACCGUUUUGCGAAGGAUGCGGUCAACGAAAGGAAGAGAACGCAAAGCAAGAGGAAACAUCCAGAACAAUCUCCGAUCUGAGAGGAAAAGUAUCGUACAAAAUGCGUGCGCUACCUGCGGAAAGGUUGAUUAUUGGCGCAUUUUUCGCCAUUGGCAUGAGUUUUCUCACUUUGAGCGCUCAACCUCGUUUCGGAGGAAAACCAAAAUCUGGAUAAUGGAAGUAACAACACACACACACACAUACACAAAUAGCUGAUGCAGUUGUAGAUUUUUGGCGUUCACGCCACUUUUACGACAUUUGCAAUGGCACAACGCAAAGCUAACCGUGGUAGCUCUCAGAUAACGGCUGGUUAUCUGGUAUUAAGAUUAGAGCAACUCGUUUUGGCGUUGUCAUUGUUGAGAACACCAUGCAAAGAUCGGUGAAAUCAGAUAGCCACUCUACCAGUUUGUUUUCGUCAUCUACCAUUCACGGCAUGAGAUCGGAUGCUGUCCGUUGCUGCUGGAAUGUCACCGUAACCGAAAGUGGAGUUUCGCAACGAACAAGUAAAUUUAGUUUUAAGUUAGUUCUUAAGUUCCUAGAGGACAAUCGUGGUUUCGUAAUAUGUGUGAAUAGGCAGAAGGAAGAAGAGACAGUAGAGGUUAUAUUAACACUUCUUUACUAGACUGAAUUCUUGAAAAAGAUCAUAGCAUCAAUGUUCAAAAUGAAUUGAUUGUCCCUGCCAAGUACAAGUCCAAUUUGUUAUUCUAAGUUUUGCAUUAAUGUUGAACAUUCAGAAGGGUGGAUUGUAAUUACUUGUAGAUGUGCCUCACAUGGAGUAGCGCGUGGGUUGAUUAUUUGACCAAAGCAAUGCUUUCUGCUUGAUUUUACGUUAAAGCGGAAAUGAUUGUAAAUUUGAUUUAUUGAUUCAAAUAUGUUUCUGACAACUAAGUUAAUCUUUCCAUUUUAAGGUUUGAUUAACUCAAUCUUUUUUGUCUAUUUAAUCUUUAUCUUACAAGCAAACCAAAGAAGUGUGAAGCCCCAAUCUUAUAUUGACACAAAAGGCUAUGUUUUUUUUUUGAAAAAAGUCUCAAUGUCAUAAGUUUAGAGUUGCACGAGCCUUAAUUGUUUGUAAAUUGUUUUACACUUCCGUUCUUAACCUUGUGUGAUAGGGGGAACCGUUCGAUACCGACACUGUAAUUUCUAUUUUUAUCGUCCUAUUUUGCUAAGUUGCAGCUAAGUUCUUUUGCACAUUAAUUUUAAAACUAAACUGGUCAUCGAUUCCUACUUCUCACAUAAUAAUUUUUCAACAAACCCACUUACUUUUAAUCCCAACUAUUCCAUUCUGAUCUGCAACGCGAGAUUUGAUCCCGCACCAUUGCCAUGUGUUUUGAUAGUGGUCUGUACGACAGUUAUUACACUUGAAGGGAACAUUAUCGCUAUCUGUUUGGCUAUUUUGGCCGCCACACUGGUUUGUUGAGAGAGCGUGUAACGGUGAAGUCUGACGCAAGCCACAACCGUCCAACCCCGUAAAGCAUGGGACAUGGAAAAUGGGGAAAGACGGGUGGGAAAAAAAUCGUUUUGUCUAUUACUUGAUCUUGGGGAGGCUUGGAAUAAUAGUUUUACCACACCUCCCCCCUUAAAAAGAGUGUUUCUUGUUUCGUUUGAUUUACCAACCAUUAAUUCUGUUAUUCUGAAGAUGUCAACUUAAUUUGUCGGGUUAAACGUCUUAGCGUAAAAGGGUAACUUUAGUUAUACCGGUUAAACUUAAACUCCAAAGUGGGCAAAUGAUGGUAAACAAAAAUCAGCAAGGCGGAGAACGUCUCUCUCGUCUCGUCACUUAACUUGCGCACUCUGAGACGCCUUUAUCGCCCGUGCGGUUAACUCUAGAAACAGCUGUGUCGCUUUUCUGUAAGCCACCCGGAAAUGUUCAUAUCCAGAUGGAAUUAACAAAAGGGCGAAUGUCGCAAAUCGAAACAAAACGGGCGAGAGUUAUCCUUCGCUGGACCAGCAUAGGAAAAUCAACCCACACUCGGUUUGUUUACGUUCGCGAAAUUCGUCCUUUUAUUGGCUCUAUCUUCGGAGGUUUAAUUUUCGUUCUCCGCCCUACCAAGGCAU